rnacentral:rRNA from 1 species
CAGCCGUAAACAAUGUGCGUUAGGUGUGUCGGUAACCACGCGUUACUGAUGCGCCGAAGAGAAAUCGUGAAACGCACCACCUGGGAAGUACGGUCGCAAGGCUGAAACUUAAAGGAAUUGGCGGGGGAGCACCACAACAGGUGGAGCCUGCGGUUUAAUUGGACUCAACGCCGGAAAUCUCACCGGAUAGGACAGACAUAUGAUAGUCGGGCUGAAGACUCUACUUGAUGAUCUGAGAGGAGGUGCAUGGCGUCAGUGACU